rnacentral:rRNA from 1 species
GAUGAACGCUAGCGGCAGGCUUAACACAUGCAAGUCGAGGGGUAUAGUUCUUCGGAAUUAGAGACCGGCGCACGGGUGCGUAACGCGUAUGCAAUCUACCUUUCACAGAGGGAUAGCCCCAGAGAAAUUUGGAUUAAUACCUCAUAGUAUAGCAGUUUCGCAUGAAACCACUAUUAAAGUCACAACGGUGAAAGAUGAGCAUGCGUCCCAUUAGCUAGUUGGUAAGGUAACGGCUUACCAAGGCAACGAUGGGUAGGGGUCCUGAGAGGGAGAUCCCCCANACUGGUACUGAGACACGGACCAGACUCCUACGGGAGGCAGCAGUGAGGAAUAUUGGACAAUGGGCGCAAGCCUGAUCCAGCCAUGCCGCGUGCAGGAUGACGGUCCUAUGGAUUGUAAACUGC